UUAGUUGUGUCCAAGGGGUUAAGACAAUGGACUAGAACUCUAUUGGGAUCUACUUGUGCAGGUUUGAAUCCUGCUGACUACA
rnacentral:tRNA from 1 species